CUGCAAUCAGAUCUUAUACUGUCGCUUCUGCGCUCUCAAGAUGCAAAAAGAAAGUGUUAGUUGAACUCGGCCCAAUAUUCCUGUCCUGUCCUGUUUGACCCGGCCCAAGAUAAAGAAAUUGAAGUAUUAGUGGCUUCAGCCCGGAACUCUAAAUCAGGUGUUCAAUCCGGAAAUUCCAUUCUUCCAUUCCCGCGUGGUGUUCAAUCCUCUUCUAUUAAUAAUGACUUUUUCUAGACGAGUACAAGACUCAACUGGUUCUUUUGCCGACCUCCCCUAAACUUGAAGUUAUGAACCAGCAACACUGUAAACUCGCCUUAGCACUGAAUGGAAAUAUUCUCUCUUCUCUUUGCGUCAUAUAUCUUUGGAAUUUCCUUCCAUAACACCGAAAACUGGAAUGACUUGUUACUCCGCCCAUGCUUGUUGCCGUGCUUGUAGAAUAUGCACCUUAUAUGAUAGAAUGUAGUAACUAAACACUGCAUAGUUUCAAACCAAAGAAAACUCUCAUAAGAUAGGCGCACCCUAUAUCUCCUAUAUAGAAAGUCUUAUUUCGUUUCGGCUAUCUGAACUCCCUUAACUGACAGAGAUGCUUGCCCGAUCUCUACUUGCGGAUGCUGACCUAAUCAUUCUUUCGUACUCAAAGAAGAAGACAAAUAGGGAGUUUAUUAUAGAAUGGGGUAAUCCGGGCCUCUCUUUCUCUUGAAACAAAGUCAGAUCUUGAAAC
rnacentral:lncRNA from 1 species